rnacentral:rRNA from 1 species
UGGGGAAUAUUGCACAAUGGGGAGGACCCUGAUGCAGCGACGCCGCGUGAGUGAAGAAGUCAUUCGUGAUGUAAAGCUCUAUCAGCAGGGAAAAAUAAGGAUGGUACCUGAGUAAGAAGCCCCGCUAACUACGUGCCAGCAGCCGCGGUAAUACGUAGGGGGCAAGCGUUAUCCGGAUUUACUGGGUGUAAAGGGAGCGUAGACGGCUGUGCAAGUCUGGAGUGAAAGCCCGCGGCUCAACUGCGGGACUGCUCUGGAAACUGUACAGCUGGAGUGCGGGAGGGGUAAGCGAAUUCCUAGUGUAGCGGUGAAAUGCGUAGAUAUUAGGAGGAACACCGGCGGCGAAGGCGGCUUACUGGACCGUAACUGACGUUGAGGCUCGAAAGCGUGGGGAGCAAACAGGAUUAGAUACCC